rnacentral:rRNA from 1 species
CCUGGUGGAUCCUGCCAGUAGUCAUAUGCUUGUCUCAAAGAUUAAGCUAUGCAUGUGUAAGUAUGAACUAUUUCAGACUGUGAAACUGCGAAUGGCUCAUUAAAUCAGUUAUAGUUUAUUUGAUGGUACGUGCUAUUCGGAUAACCGUAGUCAUUCUAGAGCUAAUACAUGCAACAAACCCCGACUUCCGGAAGGGAUGCAUUUAUUAGAUAAAAGGCUAAUGCGGGCUUUGCUCACUACUCCAAUGAUUCAUGAUAACUCGACGGAUCGCACGGCCCUCGUGCCGGUUACGCAUCAUUCAAAUUUCUGCCCUAUCAACUUUCGAUGGUAGGAUAGGGGCCUACCAUGGUGGUGACGGGUGACGGAGAAUUAGGGUUCGAUUUUAGAGAGGGAGCCUGAGAAACGGCUACCACAUCCAAGGAAUGCAGCAGGCGCACAAAUUACCUAAUCCUGACAUAGGGAGGUAGUGACAAUAAAUAAUAAUACCGGGCUCUUCGAGUCUGGUAAUUGGAAUGAGUACAAUCUUAUCCCUUAAUAAGGAUCCAUUAGAGGGCAAGUCUGGUGCCAGCAGCCGUGGUAAUUCCAGCUCCAAUAGCGUAUAUUUAAGUUGUUGCAGUUAAAAAUCUCGUAGUUGGACUUUGGGAUGGGUCAGCCGGUUCGCCUCGCGGUGUGCACUGGUCGUCCCAUCCCUUCUGUCGGCGAUGUGUGCUUGGCCUUAACUGGCCGGGUCGUGCCUCCGGCACUGUUACUUUGAAGAAAUUAAAGUGCUCAAAGCAAGUCCACGCUCUAGAUACAUUAGCAUGGGAUAACAUCACAGGAUUAUGAGUAAUCAAAGUCUUUGGGUUCCGGGGGGAGUAUGGUCGCAAGGCUGAAACUUAAAGGAAUUGACGAAAGGGCACCACUAGGAGUGGAGACUGCGGCUUAAUUCUAGGUCCAGACAUAGCAAGGAUUGACAAACUAAGAGUUCUUUCUUGAUUCUAUGGGUGGUGGUGCAUGGCCGUUCUUAGUUGGUGGAGCGAUUUUUCUGGUUAAUUCUGAUAACGAACGAGACCUCAGCCUACUAACUAGCUACGCGGAGGCAUCCCUCCGCGGCUAGCUUCUUAGAGGGACUAUGGUCGUUUAGGCCACGGAAGUUUGAGGCAAUAACAGGUCUGUGAUGCCCUUAGAAGUUCUGGGCUGCAAGCGCGCUACACUGAUGUAUUCAACGAGUCUAUAGCCUUAGCCGACAAGCCCGGGUAAUCUUUGAAAAUUUCAUCGUGAUGGGGAUAGAUCAUUGCAAUUGUUGGUCUUCAAUGAGGAAUUCCUAGUAAGCGCAAGUCAUUAGCUCGUGUUGACUACGUCCCUACCCUUUGUACACACCGCCCGUUGCUCCUACCGAUUGAAUGGUCCGGUGAAGUGUUCGGAUCGAGGCGAUGGGGGCGGUUCGCCGUCACGCGACGUUACGAGAAGUCCAUUGAACCUUAUCAUUUAGAGGAAGGAGAAGUCGUCACAAGUUUUUCGUAGGUGAACCUGCGGAAG